rnacentral:rRNA from 1 species
GCGAACGCUGGCGGCAGGCUUAACACCUGCAAGUCGAGCGGGCACUUUCGGGUGUCAGCGGCGGACGGGUGAGUAACGCGUGGGAACGUGCCCUCUGGUUCGGAAUAACUCAGGGAAACUUGAGCUAAUACCGGAUACGCCCUUUUGGGGAAAGGCUUGCUGCCGGAGGAUCGGCCCGCGUCUGAUUAGCUAGUUGGUGAGGUAACGGCUCACCAAGGCGACGAUCAGUAGCUGGUCUGAGAGGAUGAUCAGCCACACUGGGACUGAGACACGGCCCAGACUCCUACGGGAGGAAGCAGUGGGGAAUAUUGGACAAUGGGCGCAAGCCUGAUCCAGCCAUGCCGCGUGAGUGAUGAAGGCCUUAGGGUUGUAAAGCUCUUUUAUCCGGGACGAUAAUGACGGUACCGGAGGAAUAAGCCCCGGCUAACUUCGUG